rnacentral:lncRNA from 1 species
GCGUUGCAUCGUCUUUCUUAAUACAGGAUUAAGAAUAAGCAUGAGUGAAGGCUUAGGGGAGAGAGUCCAAACAAGUUUGAUCACAUCAGGAUUCACGUUGUGGAAAGUGAUUCAAUUUCAAAGUUGAAAAGAGAAUAGUCUAAGUAUUUCCCAUCAAAAGCAUACACAGUAAAAUAUGAUAAGAAGCCAUGCAGCAGUUGCGGUAAACAAGUGAAUUUCCAGGAGGGCUG